GGCGGGGGCUCUGCAGCCGCGCGCUCGCACACUCGCUGUUCUCCAGCCUUGCACACCCAGACUAGCUGGCCGAGCCGGGUGCACCGUUGCCAGCAGCCCGCGGGGCAAACACGGCCGCUCGCUUCGGAGACCCAUGCCCGCAGGGCACUGCACACUUCGUAAAUGUUUUGCACUUUGGGGAGGCGGGACUGAAGCGGGGGUCCUAGGGAAAGGCCGGGCGCCUGCGGUUCCUGGGGUCCUGCAGCCGCGCGAGACGGGCCGCGGCUGUGGGUCUGCAAGGCUGUCUGCCCGGCUCGAGAGGCCCCCGCCCCUUUCCAGGCGUCUGGUGCUGGGGCCGGGCCGGAGCAGCUGGCGGAGAGGUCGCGCUGAGAGCUCCUGCCCUUGCCGCGGCCCACAGGUUGCCAACAGGUUUGCUCGCACGACCCCUCCGCCAGAGCUUCCCUAAGUCACCCCACAUUUUCCUCGGCUAGCCACUCUUCCCAUCUUGCCUCCCCUCGGGACCUCAGGCGCCCCCAAGCGCCCCGGGGGCACACCUCCUUCCGGCUGCCGAACCCGAGCCCCGCUCCAGCGGCGGGAGUCCGGCACUCGGGUCUCAGCCGCCUCGAAGGGGCCCUCGCGGAGCAGGAGUGCGGAGAACGCUCCUCCCAAACGCCCGCGGGGAGGGGCGUAGGCUGGCAAGCGAGGCUGGUGGCCUCCCCCGCGCCUCCGAUCCCGCCCCGCGCCCAACCCGGGUCCUGCUAAUCUCACCUGCUCCACCUGUCGCCGUUAUUUAUCUCAGCGUGUGCGCAAGAAUUGUUUUAGGUCGGCCCGUGGGAGCGCAGACAAUCGCAGCAGCUAACAAGCGGGGAGACUACGAACCCCCCCUCCCUUCGCCCCCUGGAACUGCUCAAUAUCUUGAUGGUGGUUCCACGGCUCUAUGCAUUUGUCAAAACUCAAAGAUCUCCACACUCCAAAAAGGAAGCCCGAGAACAUCCGAAGAUUCCUAUUCUCUAGCCCACCUCCACUCGUUUGCGCCUCCCUUGUGCCCUCUUCCGUCUUUUCUCUCCUUUCUACCCCGUGGGUCCAAGGCUGAUAGGAAGUCCAGACUCAGUGCGGUGCUCCCAGCAGAUGCCAGCUGCAGACAUGUUCAGUGAAUUCACGAAUGAUGCCCAUCAUGGCCAGAUAUCACAGACCUGGGAUACCCUCAGGGUAGCCAUCCUUUCACUCCCCAGCCCCGGACUGUUACCUCAAAGGCAAAAAAUUCAUUUUCUGUCCCACAGAGAUACACAGCCACCAUGCCUCUUCCCGCCUCCCCCAUCCAGUCAGAAAAGGAAGUGGUGCCAAUUGAGGGAGUGAUGAGGGAUAGCUUCUUCUAUUGUCAUCCUCUUCCCAUUAUUAGAGGGUUCCUGGAAGUCUCUACCCCUUCCAGGAAGCUCUCAGGGAGUGAUCACAGCGACUGUGGCUCUUCCUGGCUUUGCCCAUUCUGAGCUGAAUGUGUACUUCUCCAUGUCGUGCGAAACUGCGCUCUGAUUUUCCAAUUAGCUGUUCCAACACCAAACAGCAGUCAAUUGCUCCUCUUUGGCUUUGGGGUGAGUUACUGGGGACAGAGAACUGCACUGACUCAGCUGACAUUCUCUUGACUUUGCCCUCUCUAAACUCACACACUAGCCUGGAGGAGAAAGAAGGUUCAUGAUGGCGGGGUGGGGGGAACAGAGGACCAAGUUAGCCAGGCUGGGAUUGAACAUUUGCUGUAGCUAAUCCACUUGUGAAUACUCUGCAGCUAAUUGUAUGCAGUGUAAAUACCUUGACAGCCUGUUUGUGUGUGUCUGUAAAUUCAGCUGUCUCCUCCCCCAAGUGUGCCCUGCCUGCUGCCUCAACACAGCCCAGUGUCUGACAAUGGGAGGCAACCUCAGAGAAGGGAAAGAGCCCUAGACAUCAGUCCUGCGUCCCAGUCCUAACCUCUCUAGGCCUCAGUUUCCCCAGAUGUAAACUAGGUAAGAUCCCUGUCUUCCUAGAGAGAAGUGGAGUAAUAAGAAUAACAGCUGACACCACAUGCCAGGCACUGUAUUAACUAUUUAAUCUUCAUAACCAUUAUGUAAGACAGGGCUGUUAUUCUCAUGGAAUGACAUAGGAAGAUGUAGUGACUCACUCAGCUGCUAAGGGGCCAAACUGAGCUUUGACCUCAGUAGCUUGGCUCGGCGACCUUGCCCUCUCCCACUGUUCUAUACUGAAGAGGGGCAAGGGCCUAGGUAUCAAAUAAUGUUUCCACAAGAACUGUUUCCUGUUCCCUUUACAGACACAGAGAACAAUACUCUGGCCCCCAAAUUGCACCAAGGGCAGGGGGGACAUGAGAGCUAGACUGCUAGACCUGACAUGGGCCAUAGGGCACAGGAUGAGCCUGAGGUCAGGCUAUCUGGAGGCUUGGUGGUCAGCACCCAGCUGCCAAGUCUUCGGUUCCACUCAAGAUCAU
rnacentral:lncRNA from 10 species